rnacentral:piRNA from 1 species
UAACCUCAAACAAUGAGCCAAAAACGUGA